GACGAACGCUGGCGGCGUGCUUAACACAUGCAAGUCGAACGAUGAACCCGGAGCUUGCUCCGGUGGAUUAGUGGCGAACGGGUGAGUAACACGUGAGUAACCUGCCCUUGACUCCGGGAUAACUGCGGGAAACUGUAGCUAAUACCGGAUACGACCCUCGGCGGCAUCGCCAGGGGGUGGAAAGAAUUUCGGUCAAGGAUGGACUCGCGGCCUAUCAGCUAGUUGGUGAGGUAACGGCUCACCAAGGCGACGACGGGUAGCCGGCCUGAGAGGGUGACUGGAGACACUGGGACUGAGAGACGGCCGAGAUUCCGACUGGCGGCAGCAGUGGGGAAUUUUGCACAAUGAGCGACAGCCUGAGGCAACAACGCCGCGUGGGGGAUGACGGCCUUCGGGUUGGAAACCUCUCUGAGUAGGGAAGAAGCGGAAGAGACGGUACCUGCAGAAAAAGCACCGGCUAACUACGUGCCAGCAGCCGCGGUAA
rnacentral:rRNA from 1 species